UGUUAAGACAAGUAGCAACGAAAAUCCUCUCCUCAAUGUAAGUGUAAACAAUAUUUAACCCUUGAACACAAUGUAGUAACACCCUAUGAAAACACUACUUCUCCAACUGUUAGCCUUACACUAGUACAUCUCAAGAAAGAUUAAAAGAAAAAGAAGGAACUCGGCAAAUCUCAGCUCCGCCUGUUUACCAAAAACAUCGCCUCUUGCACCUCAUAAGAGGUCCUGUCUGCCCAGUGAUUCCAUUUAACGGCCGCGGUACCCUGACCGUGCAAAGGUAGCGUAAUCAUUUGUUUUCUAAUUAAAGACCCGUAUGAACGACCCCACGAGAGCCGUACUGUCUCCUUUCUCCAAUCAGCGAAACUAAUCUCCCCGUUCAAAAGCGGGGAUUAUCUUAUAAGACGAAAAGACCCUGUGGAGCUUAAACAACCUAGCAUUUACCCCCAACAAUAUUCUCCCGCCGCCUUGGGUAAUAAUGACUUCUAGUUUUUGGCUGGGGCAGCCGUGGAGAAAAACAAAUCCUCCAAGACGAAUUAAAAUACUCUUAAACCAUAAGCCACAAUUUUAAGUAUCAGAACACUGACGUCAAUUGAUCCUUCUUGAUCAACGAACCUAGUUACCCCAGGGAUAACAGCGCAAUCCUCUUCGAGAGUACAUAUCGACAAGCG
rnacentral:rRNA from 1 species